GCGUAGGAAAUUUGAGAGGAGCUGUCCUUAGUACGAGAGGACCGGGAUGGACGCACCGCUGGUGUACCAGUUGUUCUGCCAAGGGCAUAGCUGGGUAGCUAUGUGCGGAAGGGAUAAGUGCUGAAAGCAUCUAAGCAUGAAGCCCCCCUCAAGAUGAGAUUUCCCAUAGCGUAAGCUAGUAAGAUCCCUGAAAGAUGAUCAGGUUGAUAGGUUCGAGGUGGAAGCAUGGUGACAUGUGGAGCUGACGAAUACUAAUAGAUCGAGGACUUAACCAUAUAA
rnacentral:rRNA from 1 species